CUUUUGAUGGCUGAGUAAUAAGGCGGUAAGUUGUAAAUUUACUUAGGAGUUAAUAACUCUCGGAUUC
rnacentral:tRNA from 1 species